UGAUCUACAAAGGUGCUGCAAAUG
rnacentral:piRNA from 1 species